CCAAGGCGCCUGCGCUAAACCGGCUUCUCGGCGCCAUUUUGUCUGAGCGGUGGUGGUCGCAGCUCUAUCGCAUUUUAUGUUUCUGGCGAGAGGAGAGCCGGGGCGUUUUCCUGUAGCUUCAUUUUAGUGCAGCACCUGUCCGCCGUUCACUCCGGGACAGCACCUUCUGAAGGUUGGAGGAGUCGGGGACGUGUCAAAAAGGUCGGUUGGAAGCUGUGGAUGUCCGAGGGACUGGGGGAUGGCGCAGCUUUAGAGGCACCGGCACCGGAAGUGGAAGGGCCGCGCGGCGGCCAUGGCAAAUUGCUCUGAAGAAAACAAGACCAUCAGUGAAAUAUCCUAAGUAUUACUGAGAUCUCUGUAUGAAUAAUGGAAGUAGAAGCAAGUGGAUAGGCUUAUCAUGUAACAAUAUCAGGAAAGUUUAUAAUAAUAAGGUACUGGAGCAGGAGAGGGAUAAGCAGGGUCCAUGCUCACAGGGAGCUAGGUGCAGGGCUUGAUCCCAGGACCCUGAGAAGAUGAUCUGAGCCGAAGGCAGAUGCCUAACUGACUGAGCUUCCCAGGUACCCCGAUGUUCAAAGUCCAGCAGUAUCCUGCUGCCAAACUCAGUGAGUAGAUUACCUUCUUAGGAAAGCAGCAGUUGGAGUGAUACUGGCAUGAGCCCAGUAAAGGGUGUGUAUACCUGACAUACUUGGCCUAAGUUACAAACUGUUUCUUCUUCUCUGAGUACUGCCGUCAGGUUAUGAUAGUUCUUGGUGGCCUCAAUACUGAUUAUAUUCUAACUUCUUACAUUGCAUAAAUUAUGGGUACUUUCACUGAACUCUACAGACCAUGAAAUUUUUGAAGUGACAGAAGAGAGACUUUCUGGAUCCUUAAAUCCACUCUUCACCAAAAUGAAAGGGGGAAUAAAUUCACCAACCUUCUCCAACCUAAAACAUCUUUCUUGGAUGUCACACUUAAAAGUUAGCUGUAGCUGGGGCACAUGGGUGGCUCAGUGGUUUAAAGCCUCUUGUCUUCAGCUCAGGUCAUGAUUGCAGGGUCCUGGGAUAGAGCCCCACAUCACAUCGGGCGCUCUGCUCAGCGGGGAGCCUACUUCUGCCCCCCACCCCCGCCUGCCUCUCUGCCUACUUGUAAUCUCUGUCAAAUAAAUAAAUUAAAAAUCUUAAAAAAAAAAAAUAAAGGUUAGCUGUGGCUGAUGACCAGCUAUCAUUUCACUAAAUACAAAACUGGGUAAUGGCAUCAAGUAAUACUUACUGAGUUGGUAGGGACUUAACUGCACAAAACCAACAAUAAGUGAUCUUUACAUUCUAGGUGAAUGAUGAAUGGAGCUUUGAAUUAAUGAUUCCAAAGCUGCUUUUUACAGUAUCUUCAGUAAGCAUAAACUUUCAUUUUAAUACCAAGUAAAUAAAUAUGUACUCAAAUAUUCCCACCAACUUCAAUUGUUACAAGACAAAAAUUUAAUGAAAAUUGGUAGAUAAUCCACAGGGCUAAAGAGUUAUUACAUGGGACUGUAUUAGAAAUUUAAAAUAGGUGCUGAAAUGUUACAUAUUAUCAUCAUCUGAUUCAUCUUCUUCCUUCAAUGAUUCCUGUUAAGAGAAAGUGUUUAAAAUCAAUUUUUAAUAUUGUUACAACCUGAAUCUAUUAAGCACUUGUCAUUGAAAAUUCUUUAUAACUGAAGAUGAACAAUGACUUAAGAUGACCUACCCAAGGAAAGAAAAGGGUAAUUAAGUGCAUCUUAUUCUAAUAAUCAACUGACUAUAUUCUUGAUAGAACACACAAUAUGAAAUAUUCUUGUUUCAAUAUGAAACAAUAUGAAAGCAUUAAAUGUCCUGAAAAAUCCUUAACUAUUUUCACAUACAACAUUUUUGUAACCAGGGCAACCCUAUCCCCACUGAAGAUAAGCCAGAAAAUUUCUAACCUUUGUUCAGUUCAACUCUUAAGUGUUAUUUAACAGAAAUCAACCAAGUUCCUUUAUUAUUCAACACUUACUUUCAUACCUUUAGCUAGAAUUGUCACAUGCUGUAGCUUACCUUUGCAUAUUUCUCUGCCUCUUCCUUUAUAUCUUUGGGAACAAUUUCAUGUCUUCCUUUAGUUACUGCAAAUUAAGUCAGAUUUUUAAAUGAAUUAGAAAUGACGACUACAUUGUGAUUUCCAACACAAUUAACUACCCAAUCCAUAGGUAUAAUCCAUCUAGUGUUAAAAAUUGUUGGGGCGCCUGGGUGGCUCAGUCGUUAAGUGUCUGCCUUCAGCUCAGGUCGUGAUCCCAGGGUCCUGGGAUCAAGCCCUGCAUUGGGCUCUCCCCUCGGCAGGAGGUCUCUCCCUCUCCCAUUCCCCCUGCUUGUGUUCCCUUUCUUGCUGUGUCUCUCUCUGUCAAAUAAAUAAAUAAAAUAUUUUUUUAAAAAAAUUG